rnacentral:rRNA from 1 species
AGCGGAGGAAAGAACCAACAGGGAUUGCCCCAGUAGCGGCGAGUGAAGCGGCAAAAGCUCAGAUUUGGAAUCGCUUCGGCGAGUUGUGAAUUGCAGGUUGGCGCCUCUGCGGCGGCGGCGGUCCAAGUCCCUUGGAACAGGGCGCCAUUGAGGGUGAGAGCCCCGUGGGACCGUUUGCCUACGCUCUGAGGCCCUUCUGACGAGUCGAGUUGUUUGGGAAUGCAGCUCUAAGCGGGUGGUAAAUUCCAUCUAAGGCUAAAUACUGGCGAGAGACCGAUAGCGAACAAGUACUGUGAAGGAAAGAUGAAAAGCACUUUGAAAAGAGAGUGAAACAGCACGUGAAAUUGUUGAAAGGGAAGGGUAUUGCGCCCGACAUGGAGCGUGCGCACCGCUGCCCCUCGUGGGCGGCGCUCUGGGCGUGCUCUGGGCCAGCAUCGGUUUUUGCCGCGGGAGAAGGGCGGCGGGCAUGUAGCUCUUCGGAGUGUUAUAGCCUGCCGCCGGCGCCGCGAGCGGGGACCGAGGACUGCGACUUUUGUCUCGGAUGCUGGCACAACGGCGCAACACCGCCCGUCUUGAAACACGGACCUCCUGUGUGAAGGGAAUCCGCUA